GUGCCAGCCGCCGCGGUAAUACAGAGGUCCCAAGCGUUGUUCGGAUUCACUGGGCGUAAAGGGUGCGCAGGUGGGUUUGCAAGUUUGAUGUGAAAGCCCCGGGCUUAACCCGGGAAUGGCAUUGAAUACUGCAGAUCUGGAGGAUUGGAGGGGGGACUGGAAUUCUUGGUGUAGCAGUGAAAUGCGUAGAUAUCAAGAGGAACACCAGUGGCGAAGGCGAGUCCCUGGACAAUUCCUGACACUGAGGCACGAAAGCUAGGGGAGCAAACAGGAUUAGAAACCCGAGUAGUCC
rnacentral:rRNA from 1 species